rnacentral:rRNA from 1 species
GUCUAUGGCCAUGCAACCCUUGACAAACCCCAUCCCGUCUGAUCUUGGAAGCUAAGCAGGGUUGGGACUGGUUAGUACUUGGAUGGGAGACCACCUAGGAAGACCAGGUGCUAUAGGAG